CCUACGGGAGGCAGCAGUGGGGAAUUUUGGACAAUGGGCGCAAGCCUGAUCCAGCAAUGCCGCGUGAGUGAAGAAGGCCUUCGGGUUGUAAAGCUCUUUUGUCAGGGAAGAAACGGUGGGGGCUAAUAUCUCCUACUAAUGACGGUACCUGAAGAAUAAGCACCGGCUAACUACGUGCCAGCAGCCGCGGUAAUACGUAGGGUGCAAGCGUUAAUCGGAAUUACUGGGCGUAAAGCGUGCGCAGGCGGUUUUGUAAGUCUGUCGUGAAAGCCCCGGGCUCAACCUGGGAAUUGCGAUGGAGACUGCAAGGCUUGAAUCUGGCAGAGGGGGGUAGGAAUUCCACGUGUAGCAGUGAAAUGCGUAGAGAUGUGGAGGAACACCGAUGGCGAAGGCAGCCCCCUCGGGUCAAGAUUGACGCUCAUGCACGAAAAGCGUGGGGAGCAAACAGGAUUAGAUACCCUGGUAGUCCACGCCCUAAACGAAUAGUCUACUAAGUUGUUCGGGUUUUUAAGUUUAAAACUUUAGGUUAAACGGACAGCUAACGACGUGAAGUAAGAACGCCUCGGGGAGGUACGGUACGGCAAGAAUAAAACUUAACAAAAGAAAGUUAAGAGGACGNGAGACGUGACGACGACGACGAACGACGGGAGGUUAGGAGGAGAG
rnacentral:rRNA from 1 species